AGCUCCAAGAGUGUAUAUUAAAGUUGUUGCAGUUAAAAAGCUCGUAGUUGAAUUUCAUAUUGCUCACUUAGGUUGGUGAUUAUAUCACUGAUCGAUUUGGGUUAUAUUACAAUAGAAUUGCAACAGCAAUAAUAUACAUUUACUGUGAAAAAAUUAGAGUGUUUAAAGCAGACAAUUGUCUGAAUAUUUCAGCAUGGCAUAAUAGAAUAUGACUUUGGUCUUAUUUUGUUGGUUUAUUAGAUCAAUGUAAUGAUUAAAAGGGACAGUUGGUGUGACUCGUAUUAGCUCGCUAGGGGUGAAAUCCUAUGAUUGAGUUAAGACGAACUACUGCGAAAGCAUUUCACAAAGAUGUUUUCA
rnacentral:rRNA from 1 species